rnacentral:rRNA from 1 species
UACGUAGGGGGCGAGCGUUGUCCGGAAUCAUUGGGCGUAAAGCGCGCGUAGGCGGUAGAGCACGUCGGCCGUGAAAGCGCCGGGCUCAACUCGGCGAGGUCGGGCGUUACGGCUUUACUAGAGGCCGGUAGAGGGUCGUGGAAUUCCGGGUGUAGUGGUGGAAUGCGUAGAGCUCCGGAGGAACACCAGAGGCGAAGGCGGCGGCCUGGGCCGGACCUGACGCUGAGGCGCGAAAGCGUGGGGAGCGAUCCGG